GGCUCUGUGCAAUGGUCAGCGCAUUGGACUUCUAGUUACACUUUGAAGAAGUUAUUCAAAGGUUGUGGGUUUGAGUCCCACCAGAGUCG
rnacentral:tRNA from 1 species